rnacentral:rRNA from 1 species
CCUACGGGUGGCAGCAGUGAGGAAUAUUGGUCAAUGGACGAGAGUCUGAACCAGCCAAGUAGCGUGAAGGAUGACUGCCCUAUGGGUUGUAAACUUCUUUUAUAUGGGAAUAAAAUGUUCCACGUGUGGGAUUUUGUAUGUACCAUAUGAAUAAGGAUCGGCUAACUCCGUGCCAGCAGCCGCGGUAAUACGGAGGAUACGAGCGUUAUCCGGAUUUAUUGGGUUUAAAGGGAGCGUAGGUGGAUUGUUAAGUCAGUUGUGAAAGUUUGCGGCUCAACCGUAAAAUUGCAGUUGAAACUGGCAGUCUUGAGUACAGUAGAGGUGGGCGGAAUUCGUGGUGUAGCGGUGAAAUGCUGAGAUAUCACGAAGAACUCCGAUUGCGAAGGCAGUUCACUGGACUGCAACUGACACUGAGGCUCGAAAGUGUGGGUAUCAAACAGGAUUAGAUACCCCAGUAGUC